ensembl:lncRNA
CCUGAAGGAUCGCUCGGCUGCCCAAUCAGAGCGCAGACACCGAUGCGCGCCGGAAGAAGGCUGCUGCAGCAGCAGAGUACAGCACACGGGACCGAAAUGGCGUAGCGCGCAGUCCUCCUCCGCAGCAGCGCAGCGGGGCCAGGCUCAUCGAACAUCUCAGAGCCUGGCCCGUCCUACUCAACCGACGAGUAUGAUGGAGGUGACUUUUAGUUCCAGUUCACUCGCUUCGAAACCAGCACGAGAUCGCCAGAGACGUGCCCUUCAUAUGUCAUAUCAAGAAGAGAAAGAAACAGUCACGAAAGGAGCUCAUGACCAGAUGAGACCGUCAUGUCUUUGUUCUUCAAACUGCUCUCCAUCCCGAUAAGUUGACUUUCCUCCAGCAUUGUUUCAGGGAAAUGUUUGUUCAUUGGUCUAUGAACAUAUCAUCUCUGCACUUGGAGACGACAACUGAAGUUGUUUUUAUCCAUGAAAGAACCAUAAGCUCUUCAUGUGUCCAAAAAAAGUAACACAAUUGUGCCACAGUACAGAGCCAUCUUCUGGUCAUAUUUGUUAUAAAUAAUGUCCAGUGUAGUAUUUAUAUGAUUGCAGGUUGUGUUAAAAGUGAAAAUGGAAAUAGUGGAAGCGCACUUGCUUUGCAGGUAAAACAAAUGCACAUUUCAAAACUAAAUCAUGCAAGCAAGAUGAAGUAGCUUCAUCCAACAGUUUUAUUAUCUGCAGAUUAAGUGCCUAGACAUGUCUUUUUUUUUUUUUUAAAGCUUCCAUCUACCGAUUGUCUAUUUCCAUUGCUUAGCUUUAAACCUACUAGUAAAGCACUCUUUGUCAAAACUAAAUCAUGCAAGCAAGAUGAAGUAGCUUCAUCCAACAGUUUUAUUAUCUGCAGAUUAAGUGCCUAGACAUGUCUUUUUUUUUUUUUAAAGCUUCCAUCUACCGAUUGUCUAUUUCCAUUGCUUAGCUUUAAACCUACCAGUAAAGCACUCUUUGGUCAUUUAUUUAGUCUUGAAAAUGGCUGAAAAUUUAAUUUCUGAGACGACAAACUGUAGACAGAUAGCUGUUCUCUUAAUUCAGAACUCAUAUUGGUGCGUUUGCAAAACCAUGAACCAUGCUUUCAUGUUUUCUAUGUACUUGUACUGACAAACCAAGACAGAGAGUGGCACACUGACCUGAGCAUAAGCUUUAUAAAUUCCACAGGUAAACCUUUCUAGUGGGGGUGGGGUGCUAAUGAGAUGCAGGACAUAAUGAAAUAUAAUUAUUUUACUACCUCAGAAGUUACCACAGCUCAGACCCACACAGCGAGCACUCCAAUCAAACUAUAUUCACAUGCUUUUCUCACAGUGAUGUAAAUCGAAUCAUUGUCUGUCAGAUGGUUUGGAAAUCAGUUGGAAGAGUGAGCAUGUUUCUUUUCACUUCAUGUAUGUUAUUUUAUUAAUAGGUUUGGGAAUAUCACAUUGUCGGCCAAAAGUUUGGAAUAAUUAAGUUUUUUUAACUAUUUUUGAAAGAAGUAUCUUCUGCUCACCAAGGCUGCAUUGAUUUGAUGAAAAUACAGUAAUACCGGGAAAUAUUGUUACAAUUUAAAAUAACUGUUUUUUUUAUUUGAAUAUUUUUUUAAGUAAUUUUUUCCUGUGAUGGCAAAGAUGAAUUUUUUAGCAGACAUUACUUGGUGUCAUGAUCCUUCAUUAUUGUUGUCAGUGUUGAAAUCAGUUUUUGCUGCUUAAGAUUUGAGACUAUGGCAUAUUUUUACAGGAUUUUUUGCGCAAUAGAAAGUUAAUUGAACGGCAUU